CCCGCCCCUGAAUCCCCCGGCCCUGCAGGGCCGGCGGGAAAUGUAGCGUAUAGGAGGGUCGUUUCUCCCGGGGUACGGCGGCCGGUCGAAGUCCCUCUUGAACGGGGCCACGGUCCUUAGAAGGUGCCAGGCCUGUGGGACGGUUGCUGUCUUCGGGAAGACCUCUCCUUGGAGUCGGGUUGCUUGAGAGUGCAGCCCUAAGCAGGUGGUAAACUCCAUCUAAGGCUAAAUAUAACCACGAGACCGAUAGCAAACAAGUACCGUGAGGGAAAGUUGAAAAGAACUUUGAAGAGAGAGUUCAAGAGUACGUGAAACCGUUCUGGGGUAAACGGGUGGAGCCCUAAAGGUCGAAAGGGGAGAUUCAGUAUCCGUUUCGUUCCGCCGCGCCCUCCUGCUGGUCAAUACCUUGCGGAUUCGUCCGUCUGGUGCCGGCGGGGGGGUUCUGCGCGCGGGCGACGGAGCGCACUUCUCCCCGAGUAGGACGCCGCGACCCGUUGGGUUAGGCGGGUCUACGGCCCGGGUGCGAGCCCGGGACGCGGUUCGCCGCGUCCCGGAGCCCCGGUGUCCCGAUCCGCUCCCGACGGUCAGCAGAACGGAACUCUCCCGCUUUUAGCGCCCGUACCAAGCACGAGCGUCAGCCCGCUAGUCGCGCGCGGACUUUUGUCCGCCGCGGUCGGGUGAGCGUUGUCGGUGCCUGGAUUUCUCGGGCAGUGGAGUCAGUGUCCUGUCUGCGGCGCUCAAAACUGGGCGGCCCACCCGGCCCGUCUUGAAACACGGACCAAGGAGUCUAACAUUUACGCGAGUCAUUGGGUACCACUACACCCAAGGGCGCAUUGAACGAGAAGGCGGGCUUUAAGCCCGCCGAGGGAGGAUGGGGUUGCGCUCGCGCGGCCCCCGCACUCCCGGGGCGUCUCACCCUACCCGGGCUCGUCUCGGGAAGGAGAGGCGCACCAAGAGCGUAAACGUUGGGACCCGAAAGAUGGUGAACUAUGCCUGGCCAGGACGAAGUCAGGGGAAACCCUGAUGGAGGUCCGUAGCGAUUCUGACGUGCAAAUCGAUCGUCGGAGCUGGGUAUAGGGGCGAAAGACUAAUCGAACCAUCUAGUAGCUGGUUCCCUCCGAAGUUUCCCUCAGGAUAGCUGGCGUUCGGAGAUACGAGUCCCAUCCGGUAAAGCGAAUGAUUAGAGGCCUUGGGGUCGAAACGACCUCAACCUAUUCUCAAACUUUAAAUGGGUGGGAACCGCGGCUUGCUUGAAUUAGUGAAGCCGCGGUCUCGGAUCGGAGUGCCCAGUGGGCCACUUUUGGUAAGCAGAACUGGCGCUGUGGGAUGAACCAAACGCCGGGUUAAGGCGCCCGAAUCGACGCUCAUUCGAAACCAUGAAAGGUGUUGGUUGCUUAAGACAGCAGGACGGUGGCCAUGGAAGUCGGAAUCCGCUAAGGAGUGUGUAACAACUCACCUGCCGAAGCAACUAGCCCUGAAAAUGGAUGGCGCUGAAGCGUCGUGCCUAUACCCGGCCGCCGGCGGCAGAGGGCGUCCUUCUUCGGGAGGACGCUGCAAAGCCCCGGUGAGUAGGAGGGUCGCGACGGUGAGCGCAGAAGGGUCUGGGCGUGAGCCUGCCUGGAGCCGCCGUCGGUGCAGAUCUUGGUGGUAGUAGCAAAUACUCCAGCGAGGCCCUGGAGGACUGAUGUGGAGAAGGGUUCCGUGUGAACAGCCGUUGCACACGGGUCAGUCGAUCCUAAGCCCUAGGAGAAAUCCGAUGUUGAUGGUCGCGGGAUGUUUCGAUCGCUCUCGGCUUUCGGGAAUGCCCCGACCGCUCUCGCUUAUAACCCGUCAUGAACGCGAGGUCGACUCGACCUCUCUCGCGGUGCUUGCCCGCCUUGGACGAAACCAUUCACGCGAGUUGCAAUACCGCGUCUCGUGGUCUCUUGAACUUUGAAACCGACUUUUCGACCUCUGUUUUUCUCCGUCUGCACGGAAAAAAAAGAAACCCGCCUGCUUUGUUGCUGCCCAGGGUUUUUUUUUCCGUUUCGGAGUCGCAGAGCGUCGCCGGGAAAGGUCGUCGGGGUUUCUUUGUCUCGAGACCGUUCGGACGAGACGYGCGUUUAACUCGUCGUGGACUUAGUAGUCCAGGUGUCGGGAGUUGCGGAAGCACCGCGCUAGUAAACCGAGUCGAUGCCCUCUAGUCGCGUUCUAACGGGUGAGAGUGGUCUGUUCCCACUGCCGUGCGUUACUGUGAACCCCGUCCGUCGGGCGAAAGGGAAUCCGUUUCCUAUUACGGAACCCGGUUGCGGAGCCGCAAACACGAUCCUCGUAUUAACACGGUAACGUGAAAGACCCCAGAGAUGCCGUCUGGAGCCCCGGGAAGAGUUUUCUUUUCUGCCUGAGCGUUCGGGUUCCAUGGAAUCCUCUCGCAGGGAGAUAUGGAAUGGAACGCGAAGAGCACCGCAGUUGCUGCGGUGUCCGGGGAGUCCCGUCGGCCCUUGAAAAUCUGGGUGAGGGUCACGUGGAGGUGUCGCACCGGCUCGUACCCAUAUCCGC
rnacentral:rRNA from 1 species